ensembl:lncRNA
CUUUCUCCAAAGAAGAAAAUUAUGUUGAGAAGACUCAAGAAAAAGAAAGAAAAUUUUCCUUUAAGAUUCACAUUUUUUGUUUGCAAACUUAAUGUAGCUUCUGUGAUUGUCUUCUUAUUAAUUGUUACAUAUACCUCAUUUUUAACACUAUGCUGCACAGAUACUACUCCACUUAUGAUUCAUUAUCUUAUUUUUUGAAAUUAAUGUAUUGAUCAUUUUACACUAAAAUCUACAAAGCAAUGAAUAUUAAAAAAUUUGCAAUAAACUAACUUGAAAUGACAUUCUAAUAGAUUGUAAUUGGUCUGUACGAAUGUAUUCUGCAGGAGUGGCAAGUUUUACAAGACUGAAAUACUGAUCAUUAGCACAACGAUCCAUGUCAGAAGCACCUCUGUUUAUCAUAAUCUCAUUUCCUUAAUGACAUAGAGUCUGAUAUUGGUGGUACGGCAGUAGAUGCUGAACCUUCCCGCCUGUUUUCUUGCCAUGAGACAGAUGACAGCAGAGGGGCAGUCUGACAAAAUGUCGUCUGACAUGGAAGUGCAUAUGAAGCAAAGCUGCAACACUGAAUUCUUCCAUAUGGAAAAAAU